GACGAACGCUGGCGGCGUGCUUAACACAUGCAAGUCGAACGGAAAGGCCCUGCUUUUGUGGGGUGCUCGAGUGGCGAACGGGUGAGUAACACGUGAGUAACCUGCCCUUGACUUUGGGAUAACUUCAGGAAACUGGGGCUAAUACCGGAUAGGAGCUCCUGCUGCAUGGUGGGGGUUGGAAAGUUUCGGCGGUUGGGGAUGGACUCGCGGCUUAUCAGCUUGUUGGUGGGGUAGUGGCUUACCAAGGCUUUGACGGGUAGCCGGCCUGAGAGGGUGACCGGCCACAUUGGGACUGAGAUACGGACCAGACUCCUACGGGAGGCAGCAGUGGGGAAUAUUGCACAGUGGGCGGAAGCCUGAUGCAGAAACGCCGCGUGCGGGAUGACGGCCUUCGGGUUGUAAACCGCUUUCGCCUGUGACGAAGCGUGAGUGACGGUAAUGGGUAAAGAAGCACCGGCUAACUACGUG
rnacentral:rRNA from 1 species